GAUGCUUAUGACAAUACUCAGCUGGCGAAGGAACGCAUAAAAAUUCUACAUGAUCAGAAAAUUCAUCCCAAGUAUUUCACACUUGGCCAGGAAGUUCUUCUUUACAACUCUCGCUUACAUGUUUUUCCUGAUUACAAAAUGCAAUUA